CCAUUUUCUUACUUAGUUGGUGACCUUUCAUUCUCAUCAGUCGAAUUUUAUUGGUGUUGUUGCUCUUUCAUCCAAGAUCACUAGGAUUGACUGGUUCAUGAGAUUAAAUACCCCAACCUUUACUAGCUCUAAGGUUGAGGAGGAUCCUUAAGGGUUUGUGGAUAAAAUAGAGAAGAUAUUCAGGGUGAUGUAUGCUACCAAUUUUGAGGGUGUAGAGUUUGUUGAAUA
rnacentral:lncRNA from 1 species